GGUUAAUAUGCUAAUGCAGGGCAGUACCAUGCUAGUGAGGUGAUUCGUUCUCUGCCAAUCCCUGGAGGACAAGUAGUGGGGUGACAGUGGGGUAAUAGUGGGGUGCCCCGUGCCCCGCCAAUCCCUGAAGGAUUAUUAGCAUACUGUUGUGUAUAUAAGGCGAGCGACUUUACCGCUCGUAGUCCCCGUAUCAGUAAUGAAGGUGUCCUGCAAUAAAGGCUGUUGACAAGGAUCCGAUGGUGUUGCAUCUUCCUUGCCGGCCAAGGACAAUUCUCCUGGUUGCCACAUUUGAAGAGAAACAAUAAUUCAUCAAAGUAACUUCUGGAAAGAAUGCCAAGUAGCAUCGUGCAAUCCAGCGCAGUAUUCUUUGAAGGAUUAUCCAACCUGAUCCUUUCUAAUUUACAUUAAACUGAAACUGUUGAUAUAAAUAAUCGUGAGCACAGAUCUUUAAAAAGCAAUGUCAUCAGAACUGCGCUUUGAUUUACAUUCAUCCAGUAACUGACAGACAACAAAUAUCACUGGAACAGAAGAGAGAGAAACCAAGAAUCAUAAGCCCCUUUUCCAGCAUAUUCUAGUUAGCUUCUCGGUGAACUAGUUUCAGAAGUAACCAGCCCUGGAACCAGCCUUGACAAUUCAGAAAAUGAUCAUUUUGAAUUAUUCAUGGCACAGUCACCCUUGACAUUCUGAACACUGUAUUUGAGAAUAGGAGAACGGAACAAGAGAUGGUAAUGGUCAUUAUUAUGAGAGUUUCAAAUAAAAAAGAAAAAAUGAGACAGGACCUUUGGGUGAAGGGAAGAAGGAAUUGUAGCAAGUUACCAACAACUCAGCAAGUUACUGAGGACAUCUGGACUGAGCAGUGUCCACAGCUCUUACUGGAUUGUGUCAUAUAUAAUUUUAAUGACUGUGGCUUACAUUAAGCACCUACAUGAUCUCUUGUUACAGCUGCUACGGAUAUCAUCCAUCGUGAUUCCUGCUAUAGCAACCAUGACCAUUGAAAAGCUGUCUGUGCACAUUAGAGAUAAUUGAAAGUUUCUCCGACAGUGGCACUUUGACGCUGGGUGUCCUUCUUAAUUUUAAUUAUUGAAUAUCCUUUUUAAGAGUCUGGAAGUCAAUCCAUUCAUCAUUUCUCAGGUGCCUGAAUCGUAUACCUUUAAGAAAUAAAGGAAAUGAGCUUUAGUUUGACAUUACAUAGUAGAGAUGUCAGUGGAGACAUCUUACUCUGAAUUGAAUGUAAAGAUUGCAUGCCUAAAUUCUAUUUUGAUUUUCUUCCUCCCAUUGUCAAUUUUCAUAUAGACAGAGUUAGACUGUGGGAAGCUUUCGAAGUAGAAUUAAAAUUGUUUAAGUUAAUCUGAUUUCUAUUGAUUAUUUAUUUAUAUUUUAAGUGUUAUUCCUCUUCCAGGUUUCCUCUCUGUAAACCCUCUAUCCUAUAACCCCUCCCCCUGCAUCUAUGCGGAUCCUUUGGUACCCACUUACCCACACACUCCCGUUUCAUGGCCCUUAGCAUCUCCCUGUGCUGUGUCAUCAAGCCUCCACAGAACCAACAGCCUCCCCUCCCAUUGAUGUCAGAAAAGGCAUCAUCUGCUUCAUCUAAGGCUGGAGGCAUAGGUAGGUCUCUUUGUAUGUAGACUUUGGUUGGUGGUUUAGUCCCUGGGAGGACUAGGAGUUCUGGGAGGUCUGGGAGAUCUGGCUGAUUGAUAUUGUUGUUCUUCCUAUGAGGCUGUGAAUCUCUUCAGCUCCUGCAGUCCUUCUCCUAAGUCUUCCAUUAGGGUCCCCAUGCUCGGUCUGAUGGUUGGCUUCAAGUACCUGAAUCUGCAUUUAUCAGGCUCUGGCAAAGCCUCUCGGGACACAGCUAUACCAGGCUCAUGUCAGCAAGUGUUUCUUGGUAUCAGCAAUCUUGUCUAGGUUUGGUGUCUGCAGAUGGGAUGGAUCCCUAGGUGGGGCAUUCUCUGGAUGGCCUUUCAUUAAGCCUCAUCUCCAAGUUAUACCACUUCUGAGCAUUUACCCAAAAGAUGUUCUACAUAUAACCAGGACACAUGCUCCACUGUGUUCAUAGACUUAUUUAUAAUAGGCAGAAGCUGAAAAGAACUCUGAUAUCCCUCUACAGAGGAAUAGAUGAAGUGCGGUACAUUUAUACAAUGGAUUACUACUCAGCUAUUAAAAAUCAAUGACAUCAUGAAAUUCACAGGCAAAUGGGUGGAACUAGAAAAUAUCCUGAGUGAGAUAACAUAGUCACAAAUGAACAAACAUGGUAUGUACUCACUGAAAAGUGGACAUUAGGCAAAAUGCUCAGAAUACUCUUCAUACAACUUAUAGACCAUAUGAAGCUCAAGAAGAAGGAAGACCAAAGUGUGGAUGUUUCAGUCCUACUUAGAAGGGGAACAAAAUAAUCACGUAGGUA